UACAGAGGUCUCAAGCGUUGUUCGGAUUCAUUGAGCGUAAAGGGUGCGUAGGUGGCGGGGUAAGUCUGGUGUGAAAUCUCGGGGCUCAACCCCGAAACUGCACUGGAUACUGCCUUGCUCGAGUACUGGAGAGGAGAUUGGAAUUUACGGUGUAGCAGUGAAAUGCGUAGAUAUCGUAAGGAAGACCAGUGGCGAAGGCGAAUCUCUGGACAGUUACUGACACUGAGGCACGAAGGCCAGGGGAGCAAACGGG
rnacentral:rRNA from 1 species